rnacentral:rRNA from 1 species
CCUACGGGAGGCAGCAGUGGGGAAUAUUGCGCAAUGGGGGAAACCCUGAUGCAGCAACGCCGCGUGAGGGACGAAGGCCCUCGGGCUGUAAACCGCUUUCAGCAGGGAAGAAAAUGACGGUACCUGCAGAAGAAGCUCCGGCUAACUACGUGCCAGCAGCCGCGGUAAUACGUAGGGGGCGAGCGUUAUCCGGAUUCAUUGGGGGAAAAGCGGGCGUAGGCGGCCGCCCAAGCCGAGGGUAAAACCCCGGGGCUCACCCUCGGGCCGGGUUGGAGACUGGGCGGCUCGAGUGCGGGAGAGGAAAGCGGAAUGCCUGGUGUAGCGGUGAAAUGCGGAGAUAUCAGGAAGAACACCGGUGGCGAAGGCAGCUCACUGGGCCGUAACUGACGCUGAGGCGCGAAAGCGUGGGGAGCGAACAGGAUUAGAUACCCGAGUAGUC